CUCUCGUCAUAGCUUUUACUUUUGAUCUCCUUUUUUUUCCCCUUAAGACGUUUCAACGAUCUUUCCUGUCACUAAUUAAACGAAUAACGUUACUUGACUUUUCUAUCGAACGAUAAAAGUACUCGUGUCUUUCAUAAAUUUCUAGAAAUAUUUCUCAAUGUUCACGUUGAAAUUUAAAAUUGAUCUGAAAAGCAUACAAUGAUGAUAAUAAUCCUUCGUUGUAAAAUUUGGGACUAAACUGGAUAGAAAAUAUUUCCUAGAACUUUGAAUUCCAGAUCGUUCGUUCGUGUGUUUGUUGUUGAUAGGAAAAAACGAUCGCGUCCAGCGUACCAGGCGAGUUUCCAUGACCAGGCUAUCAUCCGGAAACGUUAGAAUCACGAUGUUAAAUCCUGUUUACUACACCGUACGUCGACAAAUUUCCGAGACUUAUUUUAUUUCUUGGCGUAUAAGCUACGUCAGCACAGCAACUACGGUGGCAGCAUGAACUAACAAAUAUAAACAACAAAUGUGCAUUCGACUAGUCAGUUGUGAUCAGGCAGUGUUAAGUAAUGGACGUGCGGCCAUAGUGUGUCAACGUUGUUGUUGUGUCACGAAACGAAGGAAGGGAUUUCUUUUUGCUUCAAAACAAUGCGUCCAAUCAUGCGGUUGCAAUUGCAUCGUAGUUUCCAACGAAAUUUCUCAACCACCCUAUAUGGUGUACGUUACAGAAUUCCGGUGGUUCCUUGACGACGACCCGUUGUUGGAUGUUUGUUGAAUAGAAAUAGAGAAAUAUAGAAGAAAUAUGCAGGAAUGUAAUCGUAUCACACCGAUCGAGAGUUUAAUUUUAAACGAGUCAAUAACAUCAAAAGCUUGGACUAUCCGGCUAGCAGACGAGAACGGAGGGAGAUCGUAGGUACGAGAUAUGGUAAACUGAAAAGCGUGAAAUCGAUUCUACUCACAGCAGUCGAGUCUUUUCUACCUAGAUCCGUCCUAGAUAAACGCGUCUAAGAUAAAUUCUAGUCGUGGCACCAGGCCAUCAGAAGCAGUAUGGACUCGAACGAGUUCUGGAUGUUCUCGUUCGUUGAUGGUGUGCAAACUGGUUCCACGAGCAUCAGGCUGGUACUUCGUCGCGAGAGCUUUCCUAUCGACUGGGAGAGAGAAACCCCACCUAGCUAGACGGUCAUAGGCACGGAAAGUUCAUAGUGGGGAUUAUACUAAAUAUUCUCGGUGGGGGUGGUUUCAUCGUCUGGCCACCUCCACUGAGACUUCCGUGCCACCAGGAUGACAGUCAAAGGUAGAGGCUUAUUGUGUUACCAUAUUUUAUCAAUGCGAUACCCUCGUAUUGCUAAGACAGAUGAUAGAAUAUAAACUAAUUUUUCUAUAUAAUUUUUUUAUUAAACAAAUUGAUAGCAACACCUUUCUAUGAUCAAUAAUAACAGAUGUAUGAUAAGACGAAA
rnacentral:lncRNA from 1 species